rnacentral:tRNA from 1 species
UGGGCUGUCGCCAAGUGGUAAGGCACUGGGUUUUGAUCCCAGCAUUCCGCAGGUUCGAAUCCUGCCAGCCCAG